rnacentral:rRNA from 1 species
GCGCGAAACCUUUACAAUGCACGCAAGUGUGAUAAGGGAACCCCAAGUGCUCAUGCAUAGCAUGUGCUUUUGCCAUGGGUAGACACCAUGGCGAAUAAGUGGUGGGUAAGACUGGUGCCAGCAGCCGCGGUAACACCAGCGCCACAAGUAGGAGCCAUAUUUAUUUGGUCUAAAGCGUCCGUAGCUGGUUUGGUCAAUUUCUUGUGAAAUCAUUGGACUCAAUUCAAUGGUGUGCAGGGAACACUGCCAAACUUGGAACCGGGAGGAGUCAGAGGUAUUUUUGGGGGAGCGGUAAAAUGCUAUAAUCCCAAGAGGACCACCUGUGGCGAAGGCGUCUGACUAGCACGGAUUCGACAGUGAGGGACGAAAGCUAGGGGAGCGAUCCGG